UGUCUUCCCGACCUCCAGAUCGCAGGCCGGCCACCGGAGUAACCGAGCGAGCUCACCUCCGCGGCGGUCCUUCCCGCGGUCGGCGAGCUCCAUCCGCAGUCUCCUCCCUUGCUCCACCGUCGAGUUUGAGAACAUCGUUCCGUUCUUUGGCGCGGCAAGCCGGAGAACGGAGAGGAGAGCGGCCGGCGGCCACCGAAGACCGAGGCGGAUCUAGCAGGCGGCGUCGCUCCGGUGACACCCGCAGAAACCAAUCGGAAGGGUGAGGAGGCGCCACGCUGGCAACUCACUCGCAGUCGGCUUUUGGACGGAUAGAGGCAGCGAAGGCAUCUGAUCCAGAUACCAGGUGCUUCGCUCAUUCUGCAAGUAAAGGUAACGUCAGUACUACUGUCAGAUUAGAAACAGAUUAGAAGGAAGGUACUUGACAGAUUAAAAGAGAUUCUUCUUCCCUCAUCACGUGCAUAUAUCCUCAAACACUUUUGUGUGCAGGAGUGGAGUAAUAGAGUUGGGGUGGAAUAACAGCGCAGUGCUUCACAUGUCGGCAUUGUCAGGCGGCCGGAGAACGGUCCUCAUAACUCAAGGCUACCGGCGACGCGUUUCAACAAGAUAGUGUCACCACUGCAAACUCAUUUUGGCACUUCCAGUUGGGUGCAUGAUGGUAGCUGCACGAUGAGAACGGCCUCUAUCUAGAGGGUAUACAUACGUUCAAGGCUUUGAGGAAGCAUAUCACAAGCAAUGUCUGAAGUCGUCCCAGGCAGCUCCUGAACACACUUGUCUACAUGAAUUCUUGCAGGAUGAGCAUCACUCCAUCUUCUUCUGUCGAUUACUGGGGCGUCUUGGCGGAGUGCGUGGCUGCUGCUGCUGUCAUCUUUGAUUUUGGUGAAUUUACUCGUCGCUGUCACUGAAUAACAGAGGUGCUACGGUACAGACCUGGUGAAUAACAAACUAUGUAUACUAGUACUAGAGAAGAUUCAGAAACACGGCAAGAUUCAGAAACCCAAGGCAUCUACAGUUUGGCCCUUCAACCAAGCAUCCAGCUUGCUUGCUACAGAAGCUCUCGUUGACAAACGGUGUGGAGCUUUUUUUCUGGGCUGGGCAAGAAUCGGUCACAGGGGGCCAAUGCAAAGUUGCUUGGGACCUGGUGUGCGGCCCCUUCUCUCAUGGAGGUCUUGGGUUCACUUCUCUGAAGCAUAUGAACCUAUGCCUCCUCCUUCAACACCUACCAAAGCUUCACGCCACCGACACAACCCAGGGCUCUCCUUACUUGGGCUCCAGAUAUGGCUGGUCACCCUCCAAUGACCUUGGGAUGACAAAUCCAUUGCACACUCCUA